UACGUAGGGGGCAAGCGUUGUCCGGAUUUAUUGGGCGUAAAGAGCGUGUAGGCGGUUUGGUAGGUCCGCUGUGAAAACUCGAGGCUCAACUUCGAGACGCCGGUGGAAACUGCAAAGCUAGAGUCCGGAAGAGGAGAGUGGAAUUCCUGGUGUAGCGGUGAAAUGCGCAGAUAUCAGGAAGAACACCCGUGACGAAGGCGGCUCUCUGGGACGGUACUGACGCUGAGACGCGAAAGCGUGGGGAGCGAACAGG
rnacentral:rRNA from 1 species